UACGUAGGGCGCAAGCGUUGUCCGGAAUUAUUGGGCGUAAAGAGCUCGUAGGCGGUCUGUCGCGUCGGCUGUGAAAACCCGAGGCUCAACCUCGGGCCUGCAGUCGAUACGGGCAGACUAGAGUGCUGUAGGGGAGGACUGGAAUUCCUGGUGUAGCGGUGGAAUGACGCAGAUAUCAGGAGGAACACCGAUGGCGAAGGCAGGUCCUGCUGGGCCAUUACUGACACUGAGAAGCGAAAGCAUGGGGAGCGAACAGG
rnacentral:rRNA from 1 species